rnacentral:rRNA from 1 species
GACGUAGGAUGCAAAAGUUGUAGGGAUUUAUUGGGUUUAAAGGGUGCGUAGGCGGCCUAUUCAGUUUGUGAUGAAAACGUUCGGCUUAACCGGUUUCCCGCCAUUGAUACUGAUAGACUUGAGUGCGACAGAGGGUGUUGGAAUGUGUGGUGUAGCGGUGAAAUGCUUAGAUAUCACGCAGAACACCAAUUGCGAAGGCAGAUGCCUAUGUCGUAACUGACGCUGAGGCACGAAAGCGUGGGGAGCAAACAGG